CAGUCGCCGCGGUAAUACAGAGGGUGCGAGCGUUAAUCGGAAUUACUGGGCGUAAAGCGCGCGUAGACGGUUUGGUAAGUCAGAUGUGAAAUCCCUGGGCUCAACCUGGGAACUGCAUUUGAUACUGCCUGGCUAGAGUAUCGAAGAGGGAAGUGGAAUUUCCGGUGUAGCGGUGAAAUGCGUAGAUAUCGAGAGGAACGCCGGUGGCGAAGGCGGCCAACUGGACAGAUACUGACGCUGAGACUCGAAAGCGCGGGGAGCAAACAGGAUUAGAUACCCCUGUAGUCCCUGUCUCUUAUAC
rnacentral:rRNA from 1 species